rnacentral:rRNA from 1 species
UACGUAGGGUGCUAGCGUUGUCCGGAUUUAUUGGGCGUAAAGAGCGUGUAGGCGGCCAGGUAGGUCUGCUGUGAAAACUCGAGGCUCAACCUCGAGACGUCGGCGGAAACCAUCUGGCUAGAGUCCGGAAGAGGAGAGUGGAAUUCCUGGUGUAGCGGUGAAAUGCGCAGAUAUCAGGAAGAACACCCGUGGCGAAGGCGGCUCUCUGGGACGGUACUGACGCUGAGACGCGAAAGCGUGGGGAGCGAACAGG